UGCCCCUUGGCUGAGUUGGUUACAGCGUCCGACUGUUACGUAAGCUCAAUCGGAAGGUCAUGAGUUCGAGCCUCAUAGGGGCAG
rnacentral:tRNA from 1 species